rnacentral:rRNA from 1 species
AUUGAACGCUGGCGGCAUGCCUUACACAUGCAAGUCGAACGGCAUCGCGGGAAAGCUUGCUUUCCUGGCGGCGAGUGGCGAACGGGUGAGUAACACAUCGGAACGUACCGGCUAGUGGGGGAUAACCCGUCGAAAGACGGGCUAAUACUGCAUACGCUCUUCGGAGGAAAGCAGGGGACCUUUGGGCCUUGCGCUAGUCGAGCGGCCGAUGUCCGAUUAGCUAGUUGGUGGGGUAAAGGCCUACCAAGGCGACGAUCGGUAGCGGGUCUGAGAGGACGAUCCGCCACACUGGGACUGAGACACGGCCCAGACUCCUACGGGAGGCAGCAGUGGGGAAUCUUGGACAAUGGGGGCAACCCUGAUCCAGCAAUGCCGCGUGGGUGAAGAAGGCCUUCGGGUUGUAAAGCCCUUUCGGCAGGGAAGAAAUCGGCGGGGCGAAUAACCCUGCUGGAUGACGGUACCUGCAGAAGAAGCACCGGCUAACUACGUG